rnacentral:lncRNA from 1 species
AUGGAGUCCCCUCCGCGCGCUCCAGGCGCCGGGCCCAUCAGGAUGCGGGGCACGUUCGCCGCCCGAUGCCCCAGGAGCGCCCCCCGCCCCGGGGGUCCGCUCCCCGCUUCGGAGGCGCGCGCAGGCCGGGCCCUCGGAGCGCGGGGACCCCGGGCGCGCCAGCCGCAGACGUGGCCAGGGCGCCUCCCCACGGCCCUGCGCGGAGGCGGAGGCGGGGGCCCGGCGGGCGCGCACACGCGGGGAGGCCCGGGCCCGGGGGAGCGGCCGAGCCCCGCAGCCCAGCGGCUCCCCCUCCACGCGGGCGCCCGGGGACCAAGCAGAGGUCCGCCCACCGCGCUGCCCACGCCGCCCCCGCGGGCAGGGCCACCCGGCAGCCGCCCCCUCCCCGCCCCAGCUCCCGCGGCCUGCGCCUCCGGGGCCCACCGGCCGCUGCCCUCGGUCCGCGGCGCCCCUACCUCGCCGCCGGCGACUCGCCCCACCCGCCACCGCGCCCGGACGCCGCGCCCCGGCCGGUGGUCUCCGCCGCGCAUGCGCGUGGGCCUCUUCCCGCGCACCUGUGGGAGCGCCCGGGGCGGGGCGGCCGCCUCCCGCGCACCUGUGCGAGCGCCCGGCGGGUUCGCAGGCGUCUUCCCGCGCGCGGGGGCGGGGGGCCUGGGGGCGGCGAGCGCCUGGGGGGUCCUCCGCUGCUCCGCGCGCCCCCGCGAGCGCCCAGGGGUCCCCCGCUGCUCCCCGCGCGCCCUGGAGCGCCUGGGGGGUCCUCCGCCGCUCCCCGCGCCCCCGCGAGCGCCCAGGGGUCCCCCUCCCCGCGCCCCCGCGAGCGCCCAGGGUCCCUCCGGCGCCGCCAGGCCCGGGCCGGCGAGUCCCCCCGCCGCGCCCUGCCCCGGGAAGCGGCGCAGCGGGCGCGGGGCCCGGCACUCACCCGGUCCGCGGAGGCCCAGCCGCUCAGAGGAGCGCGCCGCGGGGGCGGGAGCGGCCUCCGCCUCCGCCGGGCGCGCGUGCACUGGGGCGCGCAGCUCGGGUGAGGGAGCGCGCGCCGCCGCCAGGCUCGGCCCCGCGGGGCCCCGGCCCGGCCCCCCCGCCGCUCGCCCACCGUCGCCGGGACCGCGCGAGGCUCGCAGGCUCGGAGCUCGGAGCUCGGGCGCCAGGGGCCACCCGCACCCGGACGGCCCCCGCGGAGGCCCCGCUGCGCCCGCGAACAUUGCGGGGACCCCCCCUCGGGCCUCUGCCGAAGGCCACACUCUUUGUGUCCAACUUCCCCGCCCCCUUGUCCUCCGGGGCCCCGCGGGCGAUUCUGCGCUUGGACACGGUGCCCUGCUGACACGUUGGGGGGGCAGCCCUGCUCUCCUCCUUACAGAUUCCCCAGUGAAAAAGCAAGAGGUUCCUGCGGCACCUCGUCCUCCGACCGCGGGGUGGCCCGGGGUGGGGGCGCAGGCCCUGCAGGGACCCCUGGGCUCCCGGGAAGGAAGGGAAGAUGCUCUCCCUACCUCCAGCUGCCUCCUGCCCCCUUCAGCGCUGAUUAACACUGGACCCCCCACGGUACGUGCUAUUUUUAAAGAUUUUGUGCAAAAUAAGGUUGAUUCGAUUUCCAUAGGCACAGAGAGCCUCAGACUUGACUUGGCUCAAAUUUUGCACUUGACAGUCUUUGCCCGGCUACUGUGCCCUGGGCCUUUCGGAUUUCAGGACCGUAGCUCAGGCUCUGAGAACAUCCUUAAAGAAUGGUUUUCAGGGAUCCCCGGUGGCUCGGCGGUUUAG